UACGUAGGGUGCAAGCGUUGUCCGGAAUUAUUGGGCGUAAAGAGCUUGUAGGCGGUUUGUCGCGUCUGCUGUGAAAUUUCGGGGCUCAACCCCGAACUUGCAGUGGGUACGGGCAGACUAGAGUGUGGUAGGGGAGACUGGAAUUCCUGGUGUAGCGGUGAAAUGCGCAGAUAUCAGGAGGAACACCAAUGGCGAAGGCAGCUCGCUGGGACGGUACUGACGCUGAGACGCGAAAGCGUGGGGAGCAAUCCGG
rnacentral:rRNA from 1 species